rnacentral:rRNA from 1 species
UACGUAGGGUGCAAGCGUUGUCCGGAAUUAUUGGGCGUAAAGAGCUCGUAGGCGGUCUGUCGCGUCGGAUGUGAAAAUCCAGGGCUCAACCCUGGACCUGCAUUCAAUACUGCUCCGCUAGAGUUCUGUAGAGGAGAUUGGAAUUUACGGUGUAGCAGUGAAAUGCGUAGAUAUCGUAAGGAACGCCAGUGGCGAAAGCGAAUCUCUGGGCAGCAACUGACGCUGAGGCACGAAGGCCAGGGGAGCAAACGGG